GACGUAGGAGCCAAGCGUUAUCCGAAUUCACUGGGCGUAAAGCGUGUGCAGGCGGUGUGGUAAGUUGGAUGUGAAAUCUCCUGGCUCAACUGGGAGAGGCCGUUCAAUACUGCCAGACUAGAGGGCAACAGAGGAAGGUGGAAUUCCCGGUGUAGUGGUGAAAUGCGUAGAUAUCGGGAGGAACACCAGUGGCGAAGGCGACCUUCUGGGUUGCACCUGACGCUCAGACACGAAAGCUAGGGGAGCGAACGGG
rnacentral:rRNA from 1 species